GACGAACGCUGGCGGCGUGCUUAUCACAUGCAAGUCGAACGAUGAAGCUGGAGCUUGCUCCGGUGGAUUAGUGGCGAACGGGUGAGUAACAAGUGAGUAAUCUGCCCUUGACUCUGGGAUAACUGCGGGAAACUGUAGCUAAUACCGGAUACGACCCCUUCGGGCAUCCGAUGGGUGUGGAAAGAAUUUCGGUCAAGGAUGAACUCGCGGCCUAUCAGCUAGUUGGGGAGGUAAUGGCUCACCAAGGCGACGACGGGUAGCCGGCCUGAGAGGGUGACCGGCCACACUGGGACUGAGACACGGCCCAGACUCCUACGGGAGGCAGCAGUGGGGAAUAUUGCACAAUGGGCGAAAGCCUGUUGCAGCAACGCCGCGUGAGGGAUGAAGGCCUUCGGGUUGUAAACCUCUUUUAGUUGGGAAGAAGCGAAAGUGACGGUACCAACAGAAAAAGCACCGGCUAACUACGUGCCAGCCGCCGCGGUAA
rnacentral:rRNA from 1 species